rnacentral:rRNA from 1 species
GACGAACGCUGGCGGCGUGCUUAACACAUGCAAGUCGAACGAUGAACCCGGAGCUUGCUCUGGGGGAUUAGUGGCGAACGGGUGAGUAACACGUGAGUAACCUGCCCUGGACUCUGGGAUAAGCGUUGGAAACGACGUCUAAUACCGGAUAGGACCUUGGAUCGCAUGAUCUGGGGUGGAAAGUUUUUUCGGUCUGGGAUGGACUCGCGGCCUAUCAGCUUGUUGGUGAGGUAAUGGCUCACCAAGGCGUCGACGGGUAGCCGGCCUGAGAGGGUGACCGGCCACACUGGGACUGAGACACGGCCCAGACGCCUACGGGAGGCAGCAGUGGGGAAGAUUGCACAAUGGGCGAAAGCCUGAUGCAGCAACGCCGCGUGCGGGAUGACGGCCUUCGGGUUGUAAACCGCUUUUAGUAGGGAAGAAGGGCUUCGGCUUGACGGUACCUGCAGAAAAAGGACCGGCUAACUACGUG